UAAGACGAACCGUCCAAACGUUAUUCGGAAUUACUGGGCUUAAAGGGUGCGUAGGCGGCGCGGAAAGUAGGGUGUGAAAUCCCUCGGCUUAACCGAGGAAUGGCGCUCUAAACUACCGUGCUUGAGGAAGAUAGAGGAGAGCGGAACUUAGGGUGGAGCGGUGAAAUGCGUUGAUAUCCUAAGGAACACCGGUGGCGAAGGCGGCUCUCUGGAUCUUUUCUGACGCUGAGGCACGAAAGCUAGGGGAGCGAACGGGAUUAGAUACCCCGGUAGUCCUAGCUGUAAACGAUGAGCACUGGAUCGGAGGGACCCUCAUAUCCUUCUGGUCGAACCGAAAGAGUUAAGUGCUCCGCCUGGGGAGUAUGGUCGCAAGGCUG
rnacentral:rRNA from 1 species